UACACUCCUGCGGGAGGCAGCAGUGGGGAAUUUUGGACAAUGGGCGAAAGCCUGAUCCAGCAAUGCCGCGUGUGUGAAGAAGGCCUUCGGGUUGUAAAGCACUUUUGUCCGGAAAGAAAUCCUUGGCUCUAAUACAGUCGAGGGAUGACGGUACCGGAAGAAUAAGCACCGGCUAACUACGUGCCAGCAGCCGCGGUAAUACGUAGGGUGCGAGCGUUAAUCGGAAUUACUGGGCGUAAAGCGUGCGCAGGCGGUUUGCUAAGACCGAUGUGAAAUCCCCGGGCUCAACCUGGGAACUGCAUUGGUGACUGGCAGGCUAGAGUAUGGCAGAGGGGGGUAGAAUUCCACGUGUAGCAGUGAAAUGCGUAGAGAUGUGGAGGAAUACCGAUGGCGAAGGCAGCCCCCUGGGCCAAUACUGACGCUCAUGCACGAAAGCGUGGGGAGCAAACAGGAUUAGAAACCCCGGUAGUCCCAUGAU
rnacentral:rRNA from 1 species